CUCUUAACAUACGUAUGGAAGCGCGCAUGCCCAAAGUAGAGAGAGGUACUGUCUCGUUAUACACAGGACAUUCGGUCCCUCUCACAAACCAUUAUAAGCCGCGACACGAAUAACGAGACCAUACGAAAUCCGUUCGCCACUGCACAGAUGACGCGAGAAACAGGAGAAACAAAUCGUACUGGUUACGCGCACUUGUCGGAACCAAACUGCGUAACGUUCGAUCCGAGCAGCACGACCCAAAAUAACGCUGCUUUACAACAACGUUUGACGGAGAUCAAAGACCUUCAACGAUUAGCCAGCCUGACCACGCGCGCGUCACCAUCACUACCUCGAGCGAGCACGCACCAAUCAGGCUUUCAUUUAGACGCGCGCCCACAACACACGGAUCAUUUCGGGCCAAACACAUUCGCGCCACCGAUACGCAAUUAGUCACCGUCUUCAUCAACCCGCUCACAUAUACAUAUUGCGACUGUACCGUACCAAAAUCCGCCUGUUAUACGACCUCCUUCCCCCGAGUUCACGGAAAAAUUUGACGAGGACCCGAGGGAGUUUCUGGAGCAGCUAGAAAAUUUCCUGACUCAAUCCGGCGGCAUUCAUUACGAUUUGUGGGUGAAUACCGGGGUACAGUUUUUAAGGGACACGGGAUUUACUUGGUGGGAGUCCAUUAAGUUGAACAACAUGUCCUGGCGCCAAUUUUCGUGGCGUUUGAUAGUAACAGCAUCCAAGCGGAGCUGGAAAACGAACUCAUGAUGACACAACAGGGGCCCAUUAGCGAAUGACGGAGUUUAUUAUAAAUAAACAAUGGCUAGCGAUACGAGCACGCCCCAGUUGUUCAGAGCAGCAUGUCGUAGAUCGGGUAGUCAGUCUUUUACGCUUCGGGAAACGAACAGUAGCAACGGAGAAAUUAGUCCGCUUUCUUGGCUCAAAGACACUAUUUCUUUCAUCACCAAUCAAACAUACAACGCAGCGCGAACGACCAGUUCGCUCAUCGACGAUAACGAAAUCAAACGCGCUACUCUCAACGUCGGAACAGAAGCGCGUGAAAAACGAUACAAGGAGUAUAUGCUGAAGCGUUGGGGAGUGGUCGUUGGCGAGACGACCCCCACCGUCAUUCAACAACAACAACCACAAUGGCUACGACACCAACAAUGGACACAGCAGUGCUAGCCACAACAGAAGAACCCCUGUUGGAGGAACUCAUGGAGUUAGAGGAAGUCAUGCUGGAAGAUCGAUCUGUUUCUCACCUGCUCCCCAUCUCCUGAACCUCCUAAGAAGGAAUAACAAGCAUCCACUCCUCUACAACCCAUGCCACAAAGAGCGAUACCGCGCGAACAAACACCACUUCAAACAAACAACUUAUAAAGAUUUGGAGAAGUGACAUCAUAGACUGUGGGAUACUAUCAUGAUAGCAGAUUUUGUUGGGUGUACGGAACAACGUGAACAAACACAAAAUAAUUAUACAUUUGUUAUAAAUUACUUAUACUGAUAAAGUAUAUAUAAAAACCAACCAGCAUUUGUAGCAAAUUUUCAACAUUUUUUUUUUUUU